CCUACGGGUGGCAGCAGUGAGGAAUAUUGGUCAAUGGGCUUACGCCUGAACCAGCCAAGUCGCGUGAGGGAAGACGGCCCUAUGGGUUGUAAACCUCUUUUGUCAGGGAGCAAUUGGCGCUACGUGUAGUGUUAUCGAGAGUACCUGAAGAAAAAGCAUCGGCUAACUCCGUGCCAGCAGCCGCGGUAAUACGGAGGAUGCGAGCGUUAUCCGGAUUUAUUGGGUUUAAAGGGUGCGCAGGCGGAAGAUCAAGUCAGCGGUAAAAUUGAGGGGCUCAACCUCUUCGAGCCGUUGAAACUGGUUGUCUUGAGUGGGUGAGAAGUAUGCGGAAUGCGUGGUGUAGCGGUGAAAUGCAUAGAUAUCGCGCAGAACUCCGAUUGCGAAGGCAGCAUACCGGCGCUCAACUGACGCUCAUGCACGAAAGUGUGGGUAUCGAACAGGAUUAGAUACCCCAGUAGUC
rnacentral:rRNA from 1 species